UGAGACGUUGAUGAUGCUCCUAUCACCAUGGUUAUGUGAUUGGGUAUAUCUUGCCCUCGGUCCUAACUGCCACUGUCUGUGCUGAGUUUUUCAAAGUUCAUAGCAGGUUGAACAUGCUUGCUGUCAUUUUCACAGAUUCUGGUCUUUCUUAUGGGGAACCUGAGUUCCUGCAUUAAAGUUCCCCCAGAAGAUCAAUGGAAGGUGGAUUCCAAAGAGUGGGCAAGUGAGGACCCCUUCUCUGUUACCAAGGUGACCCCAAGGAACACAGUAAAUGAAAUUUUAAGAAGAUAUAGCCUCUACACCAAGAGGCACAUGACACAACCUGGACUCUGGGCAAACCACCGGGUGCACUCACAUGAAGUGGCGGCUUAUUUGGCCUCCCCAGGACGGACUGGAGCAUCAGUAGUGCCUGAGUUCAUCAAAGGACAGAUGCUCAAGACACCUUGAUCACCAUUAGGUGGAAUUGAAGGAGCCAAAAAUGGGCGCAGUGGCUCCUCAGCAGAGACGCUCCUGAAUGUAUAGACAUGGGAACCACUUUCAGCAUCAAAAAAGGAAACGUUCUGCAUGCCCAUAUCCAGAAAAAUCCCCACUCGCUGUAACUUGCGGUCUACUAAGAGGAAAGUCAGCGGCACCGUGCUGGCAGAGAGGCGGCUUCCAUCCCUCAAACUCACAGUCCAGAAUCCAAGCUCUGUGGUCAGCUGGAUCUUCCCUUUGCAGUGAACAGAUUCUCUGCAGACUCCCAGGUCCCAUUCUGUGCUUGUUCCCACGUCCACCUCCCAGUAGUGGCGGCCACAGGUAAAGCGAGGGGAGCCCAGGAUGCAAACGGACACGUCAAAUCUCUCGGCAAGGUCUUGCCGAUUCUGUGUGAUGAGCCCACUUCGGACGCUCCUGAGGUCGUCAGAAAUGAGGAGGAAGUUGUUGGCUGUGUCGGCAUCCAAGGUCAUAUCCACUGUGAAAAGGAAAACAAGUUGCUCAGCAAGUGGACAGAAGCCAACCCCAUGCCUCUCUUCUACUUCAAAGGCCCAAAUAUCUCCUGACUUUAGUUUCUUUAAUUCUGUUUCUUCCUCCAAAAUCAAAACUUUUCAUGAGGAAACUUCCCUAUUUCAAAUUUUCAUAGGUAUGCUUUGUGGCAAUACGUGACUCUUAUUCACAGUAGCAAUUCUUAUUUUACUUUACGUCACGUGUUUGCUUCACUGAACUUUUCUUCAUUUAGAGUGGAGGGUCUCUGAAGGCAGACACCAUGCCCCCCUUUCUACCACCUUGAUGUGUGAACAAAUAAAUGAUAAUUAAGACAAUGCAAGUGGUCAAUAUUAAA
rnacentral:lncRNA from 1 species